UUUGAUUUUGUUGUACCAAAAAAUAUUAUCAAAGAUUAUACAAUAUUGUUUGGGAAUGCAAAAUGAUUUUAUGUUGUACUAAUUCGGGUUGCGGACAUUUACUUUCACCAGUCUUUGGUUUAGAGUGUACAAGAUGUCAUUUACUUAGCUUUUAAAAAUGGAUCUGAUUUCAUUGUAAUCUCAACUUUUGACAAACAGGUAACACUUUGUUCAUUACAUUUCUACAGCUAUCGGCCAAAUCAGGUUAGUCUUGCUCCCUGAGUCUAAUUGUAAAAGCUCUAUGUUGUUAAUCAUGUUUUUCAUUUAGAUUGUUUUCAGUCGCAAGAGUCUAAUUUAAAAUGAAUUCUAUGAUAGCCUUCUAUGUUUCCCAUAUGUUCAUCACUCUACAAUAUAAUGGCCAUAGGGUAACUGUUAAGCCAUCUAAUUGAUUUUGUGAACUUGGUUUGACAACAUAGAAGAUGAAUGCCAACUUGAGAGUGUGUUGGAUAAGUCUUUGUCUAGGUAAGUUUAAAUUAUACCAAAUUCAUCUGAUUGGCUCAUUGCAAUUUAUGGACAUAUAUCAUUGCAAAGAAUUGCAUGUUAAUGUUUAUUGAUACGUAUUGUGCUUUGUAGGAAUCACAGUGACAGAUAGAGGACAACCAUGAGUACAAUUCUUAAUUGACUAUAUUGAUGGUUUUUAGACUAAAAACCUGAGCCAGAAAUAAAUCAUAAAAUAGAGGUAAUGAUCCUUUUCUUCCAAUUCGUGAAAAUAUUGUGUAGGCCUUUGAUUCUUUUUGUUUGCGUAGUUCCCUAUUUGAAAAUUUGGUUUUGGAUUGGAUUGGAUUAUCAUAAUGCGUCGAUGCAAGGAAAGGAUUCAGUUAGCCACUGACCCACUGUAUGCUCUCGAAAUUUGUUCUUUGUAGUAUUUACACUUACCAUUAUAAGCUAAGUGAACACUGAUUUAGAAUCAAAAACUUUUCACAGGGCUUGCUUAAUUUUUCUUUGAUGUGUUUUGUUUGUAAUCAUCGUCUUUUUUUUUAUUGGGUGAAAAAAUUUUAGGGCCUAUUUGAUUCAGGUGGGAUUCUUUUUUGAUAAAUUUUUAAGAGGGGUAGAUAAGUACUUAUGCAAUAUAGCAAGAAGCGAUCUUAAUCUCUGUUUCUUCUUCCACUGUUCUCCGAUUUUAAAAAAUUCCAUUUCCUGUCCUCCAUUUUCCCUGGUAAAUCAGUUUACCGCUCGAAUCAAACAAACUCUUAGUUAUAUACUAAUUGGUGAUAUUCAUCUUAAAAAAGUUGUGUUUUGAUCUUUGAAGGUUAUCUAAAAUCGUAGAGUAUUGAUCUAAUCUCCAAUUUUUUUCUCAACCAAAUUAUUAUCAUUAAAAGAAAGUGGACUUCUAUAAAAAAUCGUACAGUAUAAAUCUAAUUUCUCAACCAAAUUAUUAUCGUAAAUAAUGUGAACUUCAACUAUUAUGCAAAUAGUGGUUCUCUCAGCCCAUUUAAAGUCACUUCUCAUGAAUUGAUUUACUUAGACUCUUGUUAGUCCAAUUGCUUAUUUGAUUCAAAUAUGUGACUUGAAUAAUGAAAUUUUUGGACUGAUGUAGUGUAUAAUUAAUAUAACAUGCAUCCUUAAUGGUUUGCAACGAAUCAAAGUUUUAUGGAUUUAAGACUUUCCCCUCCACGAAGAUUUGCAAAUUUUGUUUAGUUAUGGACUCAGUUAGAGUCGUUUUUUAACCAGUUCUUCAGGGACGUUUUUGUGUAGGGUUAGUAUAUUGAGCCUAGAAAUUUAUUUACUUAUCCUUUUUAUGGAGCGCAAACUCCUGCCAUUUUUGUAGAUGAAUAUUGCGCAUGUUUGGGGUUUGUAUUAAACUUUUCAUGUAAUGAGUUAAAACUAGGUCAUAAAGCUGAUGAUGGUUGUUAUAGUGUGUGUUUGGGUAGUUUGUAAUUGUAUUGAACUAUCUUUUCAUCCUUGCAUCUUCAUUUGCAUAUGAAAUAUUCUGACAUUCGUUAUACGUAUUAUUGAACAUUUCAAUCAAUAAUCUCCCCAUUGUUAUUUUAGUCGCAAACAUUCAUAUUUAGUUUAGGCUUUAUUUAGACGUAAUGCUUCAAUUUCUACUUUUCACUAUCAUAAAUCAUAUAGGCUCGACAACAAGGUUUAAUAAUAUACAGGUUAUAGUUGAGAGAUGAAGUAACUAUUCCUUUGCCCAGAUUGUCGUUAGCGACUUAGCGUACAAAGAGGUAAAUAUUCCUACACUUGACUUUCAGAACUUUUUUUUUUAAAGCGAUUGAAUUUAAUUUCAUAUGCAAUUAAGGGAAAAAAUAGGGUACUCAAAUAAAACGGUAAUCGAAUAACAUAAUCAAGACCAAAUCUUACAUGCAUGAACAAACAGGUGGUUAUAUACAUCAGUUAUUCAGAUGACGUUAUUCCUCUUAGAGUAGAAUGAAAAUGUUUUCUAAUAAGUGAUGAGUGUUUUAAAACCCUCCAUUAUUUUUUUUAAGGCUCAAGUCAAUUUAAUGUCAGUACACAAUUGUAAUAUAGAAUCAAUUUAUUGAAAUCAGAUGGAUUAAAAAGAAGUUCUAGAUGUUCAAGUAUUCACUCUUUAUAACUUCCUUUUGCUCAUUUUACGAGAAUGGUAUCAAAUUUUUAUUCAAUAAUUUAAGCGUAAUCACUAUAUUCCUUAUAGAUUAGUUCGUUUGAUAUGUUGGUUAAGUGAUUCAUGACCAUAUAUCUUUAGGUACUAGGUUUUGUUCUACGAAAAAUGUACAAUAAUUGAGAAACUAAAGUGCCUCAUCCCACAUCUCUGACGCAUUUGGAGUCAUCCACAUAUUUUGUUUUGUCCAGUCACUUACAAGAAAUUAUUGGUCUUGCCAAGCUACUAAUAAGCAAUAAUAACUUUAUAAACAAUUCAAACCCUACACAAAUAGGAAAUUGAGCAAUUUAGUUUAAUGCAUAGGAUUAUUGAUACUAGUAGCUAGAGUUAUAAUAUAUUACAUUGAACAUGAUAGUGGCUUUAGGAUUGAUGUGAUUAACUGUUGUUUGUGGUUGAUGAAGUAUUUUAUACUUAUGGUUAUAAGGUCGAUGCCAAAUUACUCAAAUAUCAUAUUUGACAAUGAUAUUAUGUUUUUCAAUCUAAUUUCUAUGAUUUUGUUAUGCAUAG
rnacentral:lncRNA from 1 species